UUUGGAAUUCUCUCCAGUGAAAUCUCUCUUUCAUCAGCGUCAGUUUUUUUCUGAAAUUUUAAUGGGCCGCUGUAUAGCACGCGUUCAUUUGACGCGUGCAGAUGUUGAUAUUUUUAUUUCUGUUAGCUGUUGGUAGUUUACGUGCAUGCAGGCUGUCGUCGGUUCUAACCCUAAAAUAAAAUUGAUUGAAUGUUUUCUGACAUUGCUUAGAAGACAUUUUAUUUUACGUCAAGUUUAGAGACAACAAUAUUUUGUCAACUUGCACUGUUUUCAAAUUGAAACUCUACUACACCUUCAAAAACUAAUUUUAGAAUGAUUUCCAAACGAGCUAAGAGGCAGCUGUUGGAAAAAUUUCACCGAGGCUUUGUUUACACAAUGGUGGGCGUAACACUCUUCACUCUUUCCUGUGUGGGACUUAGCUUAUAUGGAACAAUUCAGGAAGUGAAGAAGAAAGAAAAACUCAUGUUUGCCGAAUUACAAUCUAGGGACGAUCCAGAGGAGUUCCCAACUGAAACUCUUAGAUAGAAACCUGUUUUCCUACUAGGCUUCUAUCAAAUUUCUUUGUUGACACUGGUCAAGAUAUUUAUAGUUCAACAUAGUUGGUGAACAGAUACUGUGAUUUGUUUUAUUUUUACUUCAUUGAGUACUUUGUGAGUUUUAUGGUGUGAAACCAAUUUAUGUGUGAAACCAAUGCCUCUGGAUGGAAAGUGUAACUCGUCAACUUUGUAACAUAGUACAAUUAUGCAAAUCUUUGGAGAAGGCAACUUGCCUUUAAAAAGGUUGAUAACAACAAAUAAAGUCAAAGAUUAAUACUU